CUACGUGCCAGCAGCCGCGGUAAUACGGAAGGUUCGGGCGUUAUCCGGAUUUAUUGGGUUUAAAGGGAGCGUAGGCUGAAUAUUAAGCGUGUUGUGAAAUGUAGUUGCUCAACAUCUGCACUGCAGCGCGAACUGGUAUUCUUGAGUGUGCGCGACGUAGGCGGAAUUCGUGGUGUAGCGGUGAAAUGCUUAGAUAUCACGAAGAACUCCGAUUGCGAAGACAGCUUACGAGAGCACAACUGACGCUUAAGCUCGAAGGUGCGGGUAUCGAACAGGAUUAGAUACCCUGGUAGUCCGCACAGUAAACGAUGGAUGCCCGCUAUUGGACUUUUAGUUCAGUGGCUAAGCGAAAGCGUUAAGCAUCCCACCUGGGGAGUACGCCGGCAACGGUGAAACUCAAAGGAAUUGACGGGGGCCCGCACAAGCGGAGGAACAUGUGGUUUAAUUCGAUGAUACGCGAGGAACCUUACCCGGGCUUGAACUGCCGG
rnacentral:rRNA from 1 species